AAAUUUGAGCUAAUACCGGAUAAUGUCUUCGGACCAAAGAUUUAUCGCCUUUAGAUGGGCCCGCGUUGGAUUAGCUAGUUGGUGGGGUAAAGGCCUACCAAGGCGACGAUCCAUAGCUGGUCUGAGAGGAUGAUCAGCCACACUGGGACUGAGACACGGCCCAGACUCCUACGGGAGGCAGCAGGUGGGGAAAUUAUUGGACAAGUGGGGCGAAAGCCUGAUCCAGCAAUGCCGCGUGAGUGAUGAAGGCCUUAGGGUUGUAAAGCUCUUUUACCCGAGAUGAUAAUGACAGUAUCGGGAGAAUAAGCUCCGGCUAACUCCGUG
rnacentral:rRNA from 1 species